rnacentral:rRNA from 1 species
AGUUCGCCCCUAGCCCUGAACCUCCCCGAGUCUUUUCCACAACUGUUUCAACUAGGAGUUAUACAAACAGGGUCCAGCCUGUCUGUAACCGGAUACAACCCCCAUGGAGGAUUAGCAAAACCAAAACUAGCCCGUAGGCCCUUAAGCAGCCACCCCAAAAAAUCGCGUCAUAGCGCCCACAAAAAAACAACGCCCGCCCCUACACACCCCCAAUAAAAACUUGAGCCACCCUAGCCUUUUAACCCUAGGGGAAAUGCUGUUAAAACUAGUAAUUCGAACCCCUUCUCUCCCGCACACCCCUGCACCGACACGGAUCGCCCCACCGGUAAUUACCAACCUCAAACCACACCACAACCCUGUCACCCCGACACAGGCGUGCCUCAGAGAAAGGCAAAAAGUCGCAGAAGGAACUCGGCUAACCCCGCCCCACCUGUUUACCAAAAACAUGGCCUUUAGCCAAACAAGUAUUAAAGGUCCCGCCUGCCCAGUGAUCCUCUUUAAACGGCCGCGGUACUCUAACCGUGCAAAGGUAGCGUAAUCACUUGCCUCCUAAAUAGGGGCUCGUAUGAACGGCUAAAUGAGGGCCCAACUGUCUCCUGCAACAAGCCAAUGAAACUGUUCUUCCAGUACAAAAACUGGAAUACACCCACAAGACGAGAAGACCCUGUGGAGCUUUAAUUGCACUACCAAGCCUCCCGCCUAUGGUAACACCUUUAAGUUGGGGCAACUACGGAGAACUACCAAACCUCCACGAACCAAGGCCAAAGCCUGUCUUUAAGGCCUACAAGCCGAAGACAACCCACAUAGACCCAGCACAGCUGAGCAUCGGACCAAGUUACCCCAGGGAUAACAGCGCCAUCCCCCUCAAGAGUCCCUAUCGCCAGGGGGGUUUACGACCUCGAUGUUGGAUCAGGACACCCAGGUGGUGUAGCCGCUACUAACGGUUCGUUUGUUCAACGACUAAUGUCCUACGUGAUCUGAG